rnacentral:rRNA from 1 species
UACGAAAGGUGCAAGCGUUACUCGGAAUCACUGGGCGUAAAGCGCACGUAGGCGGACUCGUAGGUCAAUUGUGAAAUCCCUGGGCUCAACCCAGGAACUGCACCUGAAACUACCAGUCUUGAGUGGUGGAGAGGGAAGUGGAAUUCCUGGUGUAGAGGUGAAAUUCGUAGAUAUCAGGAGGAACACCAGUGGCGAAGGCGGCUUCCUGGACACCAACUGACGCUGAGACGCGAAAGCGUGGGGAGCAAACAGG